rnacentral:rRNA from 1 species
AAAGCCACGGCUAACUACGUGCCAGCAGCCGCGGUAAUACGUAGGUGGCAAGCGUUGUCCGGAUUUAUUGGGCGUAAAGCGAGCGCAGGCGGUUUUUUAGGUCUGAUGUGAAAGCCUUCGGCUUAACCGGAGAAGUGCAUCGGAAACCGGGAGACUUGAGUGCGGAAGAGGACAGUGGAACUCCAAGUGUAGCGGUGAAAUGCGUAGAUAUAUGGAAGAACACCAGUGGCGAAGGCGGCUGUCUGGUCUGCAACUGACGCUGAGGCUCGAAAGCAUGGGUAGCGAACAGGAUUAGAUACCCUGGUAGUCCAUGCCGUAAACGAUGAGUGCUAAGUGUUGGAGGGUUUCCGCCCUUCAGUGCUGCAGCUAACGCAUUAAGCACUCCGCCUGGGGAGUACGACCGCAAGGUUGAAACUCAAAGGAAUUGACGGGGGCCCGCACAAGCGGUGGAGCAUGUGGUUUAAUUCGAUGCUACGCGAAGAACCUUACCAGGUCUUGACAUCUUCUGCUAACCUAAGAGAUUAGGCGUUCCCUUCGGGGACGGAAUGACAGGUGGUGCAUGGUUGUCGUCAGCUCGUGUCGUGAGAUGUUGGGUUAAGUCCCGCAACGAGCGCAACCCUUAUUGUCAGUUGCCAGCAUUUAGUUGGGCACUCUGGCGAGACUGCCGGUGACAAACCGGAGGAAGGUGGGGAUGACGUCAAAUCAUCAUGCCCCUUAUGACCUGGGCUACACACGUGCUACAAUGGACGGUACAACGAGUCGCGAAACCGCGAGGUCAAGCUAAUCUCUGAAAGCCGUUCUCAGUUCGGAUUGCAGGCUGCAACUCGCCUGCAUGAAGUUGGAAUCGCUAGUAAUCGUGGAUCAGCAUGCCACGGUGAAUACGUUCCCGGGCCUUGUACACACCGCCCGUCACACCAUGAGAGUUUGUAACACCCAAAGCCGGUGAGGUAACCUUCGGGAACCAGCCGUCUAAGGUGGGACAGAUGAUUAGGGUGAAGUCGUAACAAGGUAGCCGUAGGAGAACCUGCGGCUGGAUCACCUCCUUUCUAA